rnacentral:tRNA from 1 species
UCUCUGGUGGCUCAGACGGUAAAGCAUCUGCCUACAAUGUGGGAGACCCAGGUUCAAUCCCUGGGUUGGGAA